rnacentral:snRNA from 1 species
CGCUUUGCGCAGUGGCAGUAUCGUAGCCAAUGAGGUUUAUCCGAGGCGCGAUUAUUGCUAAUUGAAAAAAAGCAAAAACUAGAAAAACCCCAUUUGAACCAAUUGCCAUUUUUCAAUCCUCCUAGAAAGGG